rnacentral:lncRNA from 1 species
AGUAUAAAUUUAGAGUAUAGUUUUUUUUACUCCUGAUACCAUCUUUAAUGCUUUUAAGCUAAGGAGGGUAACUUAGGAAGGUCCUGUAUAGUCACAGACUUAAGACAGCUUGGGAGAGUAACAUGCAAUCCACACUAUGAUUUAGGUCACCAGAAUUUCUGUAGCGUAUUAUGUACUAAGUCCUCUGAUAGGCUCUGUGGCUCUUGAGGCCCGUCUCUUUGAGGAGUUUGUCUGUCCAGUAGGGGAGAUAGACAGACCAGCAAGUAGACACAACAGGAUCUGAUACGUGUAGUAGUAUAGGUAUGAACAAAGUACAGAGAUAGAAAGUAGCAAAGAAGAGGGGAUGACUAAGUUAUUUGGGAAGUGUAUUAGUUUCCUUUUGCUGCUGUGACAAAUUACCAUAAACUUAGAUGCUUACAACAUCACAAAUUUAUUCUCUUACAGUUCCAGGGGUCAGAAGUCCAAAAUGAGUCUUCUGGAGCUAAAAUCAAAGUGUUAGCAGGGCUGGUUUCUUCUGAGGGCUCCAUGGGGAGAAUUCAUUCCUUUGCCUCUUCUACCUUCUAGAAGCUGCCGGCAUCCCUCACCUGGUGGUCCCAUCACUCUAAUCUCUGGUUCCAUCACCACAGUGCCUUCUCCUCCUCUGCUCUCCUGCCUCCUCUUAUAAGGAGCUUUGUGAUUACAUUGGACCCACCCCCCAGAUAAUCCAGGAUAAUCUCCUCAUCUCAAAAUCCUUAACUUAAAUCUGCAAAGCCCUUUUGCCAUGUAAGGUAACGAGUCAAUAAAUUCUAGGAAUCUACUCACCAACAUUCAGUCUAUCACAGCAGGAUAGGGGGAGGGGAGUUCAGUGAAACUUCUUCUCAGGUGUCAAGCAAAGGAUGGUGGAGCCUUUUGCUGUGUCUGGACCAGGUCUUGCCACUCUGCGUCUUGCGAAUCUGACCUGCCACAGAUUCCCACACUUCAGCUGCUGCUGCCCGCCCUGCUGUCCUUCUUACCUCUGGAAGCGGCGUCAGCCCCCCAGCUCCUCCAAGGUCAUGGGGGCCUAUGAGGCUGGAGCUGCCCAAUGGUCCAAAAAUUGGCUAGCAAUCUACCUUAGAAGCAUACUACCAAAUACCACCUUUCUCAGGCUCCACCAUCGGAGAGAUUGGAUGGAAGACCAGAGGCUGGGGGAGGAAGACGGGCCUGCUACUGUUCCUGUCUGCACUGCCCCGGGAAAAGCCUACAUCCUGGCACCAGCAGGUCAGUUCUGGUGACCUCAACCUCUCCCCUUCGUCUCCCAGCUCUAGAAGUCCCAGAUGCUUCCUGCAGUGACCAUCUUUAUGUGAAUCCUGUGUUACAUCAGUGUUCCCUUUUUGCUUUUCUGUGCUUCAACAGCUAUUUCAUCAAUUCCCUAUGGUAAAUUCUUUCUAUUAAAGUAACUCGUGUG